GGUUGAGUGCAGAACGAGCAGA
rnacentral:siRNA from 1 species